AACGGAGGGCGCGAGCGGUAUCCGGGUUCACUGGGCGUAAAGCGCGUUGAGGCGGCUCCGUAAGUUGGGCGUGAAAGCCCCGGGCUCAACCCGGGGAGGCCGUCCAAUACUGCGGGGCUUGAGGGCAGCAGAGGGAGGUGGAAUUCCCGGUGUAGUGGUGAAAUGCGUAGAUAUCGGGAGGAUCACCCGUGGCGAAGGCGGCCUCCAGGGCUGCUCCUGACGCUGAAGCCGAAAGUACGGGGAGCGAACGGG
rnacentral:rRNA from 1 species